AUUUUUAGAUUACGACGUUUAUCUUAUUCGCGUAACAGAUACUUCUUUCGCGUGUCUAUGCACCUUGUAAAACAUAACUGUACUUUCAUAUCGUGAAUUAUGAAUUUAGGAUACGGAAAAUCAAGACAGAUGCGUAUCUAUGGAAUUUCAUUACAUCGAAUAAGUAGCCCAACCCAUAAAUAAAUCAGGCAAACGGGGAGAAUGACUAACGCAAGAUUACGCGACCCAUCGACCACUUUCGGCCCACGCUAUUUUAUCACAUUUUUAAUCCAAUCUUCGUACAUAUAAGGUUGUGAUACGAUAAACAUAAAUUUUUAGUUUUUGUAUAAAUUCAUUAUGUUAUCAAUAAAUUUUGUACGAUUAAAAUAUAUAAAA